GAUGAACGCUAGCGGCAGGCUUAAUACAUGCAAGUCGAGGGGCAGCGGGAGUAGCAAUACUUGCCGGCGACCGGCGCACGGGUGCGUAACACGUAUGUAAUCUGCCCAUCACAGGAGGAUAGCCCGGAGAAAUUCGGAUUAAUACUCCAUAAUAGAAGAUAAAGCAUUUUAUUUUCUUGAAAGUUCCGACGGUGAUGGAUGAACAUGCGACUGAUUAGUUUGUUGGUGAGGUAACGGCUCACCAAGACUACGAUCAGUAGGGGUACUGAGAGGUUAAACCCCCACACUGGUACUGAGACACGGUCCAGACUCCUACGGGAGGCAGCAGUGGGGAAUAUUGGACAAUGGGCGCAAGCCUGAUCCAGCCAUGCCGCGUGAGUGAAGAAGGCCU
rnacentral:rRNA from 1 species